rnacentral:rRNA from 1 species
UUCUUCGGAUGAAGUCCUUAGUGACUGAGUGGCGGACGGGUGAGUAACGCGUGGGUAACCUGCCUCAUACAGGGGGAUAACAGUUAGAAAUGGCUGCUAAUACCGCAUAAGCGCACGGUACUGCAUGGUACAGUGUGAAAAACUCCGGUGGUAUGAGAUGGACCCGCGUUGGAUUAGCUAGUUGGCAGGGUAACGGCCUACCAAGGCGACGAUCCAUAGCCGGCCUGAGAGGGUGGACGGCCACAUUGGGACUGAGACACGGCCCAGACUCC